rnacentral:lncRNA from 1 species
AUUUUCUUGGCUGUUGUUGUUUUUGUUCUAAGACAUCUCUCUAGGGACUCUCCGGCCAUUGUCAAUCCCCUCGGGAGGAAAGGGGGAGGGGUGUGUGCCCGCCUUGUGCUGCACGACCUUGUGAGGGAUGCCACUUGGGAGGGGAGGCCACCAAAGAAAAGGCUACAACAUCUGGGUUAUGAAGAAAGGGGAGCAACUCAAUUCAAUUCAACUGAACAUAAACACAUUCAUUGCGGUCUACAACGUGCCAGGCACUGGAGAUACAAUAACAAAAACAAAUUCCUGCUUUUAAGGAGCUUGCAAGAUUCUGUGAUUCUUGGACAUUUUCAUUUGGAAGUGUUCCUUAGCUGUCAUCUAGUCUAGCCCAUAUACCGAAAAGGAUCCCUGGGACACUCUAAUGGACAAGUGGAAAUCUAGCCUCUGCUUGAGGACCUCUGGGAAAGGCAAACGUGCUGCCUCCCAAAGUGGCCCAUUCCCCUUAUGGACGACUGUGAUGAUUGGGAAGGUUUUCCUGACGGUGAUGCCUAAAUUUGCCUCUUUGUAACUUUCCCUCGUGGCUCCUAGUUUUGCUGUUUGAGGGAAAAUGAACAAGUCCAAUUCCUCUUCCAUAUGAAAACCCUCCAAGUACUCAAUGGUAGUUGUCAUGUCACCCCCAAGUGUUCUCUUCUCCAGGCUGAACAUUCCUAGUUCUUCAAAUCAGUCUUCACAUGGAUUCGAGGCCCUUCAUCACCCUGGUUUUCUCCUCUGGAUAGCCUCUAGUUUAUAAAUACUUUUCCUAAACCGUGAACACAGAACUGAACACAAAUACUCUGGAUGUAAUCUGAGCAGGCCAGAGUUUCCUUCGAGGCUUGGUUCAAGUACCACUUUCUACAUGAAGCUUUUCCUCAUCUUACCUCUCCUUGUCUGUUAAUGACUUCUUCCUUUCUUUCUCCUUCCCAAAACUACCCUGGAUUUAUUUUGUAUAUAAUUAUACAUGAUAUAAUAUAUACAACACAUAUAUUAUAUGUGAUAUAAUAUAGACAUAAUGUAAUCAUAUACAACACACAUAUAUACAUGAUUUAAUAUAUACAACACAUAUUAUAUGUGAUAUAAU